rnacentral:rRNA from 1 species
GGAGCAUGUGGUUUAAUUCGAAGCAACGCGAAGAACCUUACCAGGUCUUGACAUCCCCUGACAACCCGAGAGAUCGGGCGUUCCCCUUCGGAGGGACAGGGUGACAGGUGGUGCAUGGUUGUCGUCAGCUCGUGUCGUGAGAUGUUGGUUAAGUCCCGCAACGAGCGCAACCCUCGACCUUAGUUGCCAGCAUUCAGUUGGGCACUCUAAGGUGACUGCCGGCUAAAAGUCGGAGGAAGGUGGGGAUGACGUCAAAUCAUCAUGCCCCUUAUGACCUGGGCUACACACGUGCUACAAUGGGCGGUACAAAGGGUCGCGAACCCGCGAGGGGGAGCCAAUCCCAAAAAGCCGCUCUCAGUUCGGAUUGCAGGCUGCAACUCGCCUGCAUGAAGCCGGAAUCGCUAGUAAUCGCGGAUCAGCAUGCCGCGGUGAAUACGUUCCCGGGCCUU